CAGUAGCCACGGGAAUACAGAGGGUGCGAGCGUUAAUCGGAUUUACUGGGCGUAAAGCGUGCGUAGGCGGCUUUUUAAGUCGGAUGUGAAAUCCCUGAGCUUAACUUAGGAAUUGCAUUCGAUACUGGGAAGCUAGAGUAUGGGAGAGGAUGGUAGAAUUCCAGGUGUAGCGGUGAAAUGCGUAGAUAUAGGAAGGAACACCAGUGGCGAAGGCGACCACCUGGGCUCAUACUGACACUGAGGUGCGAAAGCGUGGGGAGCAAACAGGAUUAGAUACCCCAGUAGUCCCUGUCUCUUAUAA
rnacentral:rRNA from 1 species